rnacentral:rRNA from 1 species
GACGAACGCUGGCGGCGUGCCUAAUACAUGCAAGUAGAACGCUGAAGGAGGAGCUUGCUUCUCUGGAUGAGUUGCGAACGGGUGAGUAACGCGUAGGUAACCUGCCUGGUAGCGGGGGAUAACUAUUGGAAACGAUAGCUAAUACCGCAUAAGAGUAGAUGUUGCAUGACAUUUACUUAAAAGGUGCAAUUGCAUCACUACCAGAUGGACCUGCGUUGUAUUAGCUAGUUGGUGAGGUAACGGCUCACCAAGGCAACGAUACAUAGCCGACCUGAGAGGGUGAUCGGCCACACUGGGACUGAGACGCGGCCCAGACUCCUACGGGAGGCAGCAGUAGGGAAUCUUCGGCAAUGGACGGAAGUCUGACCGAGCAACGCCGCGUGAGUGAAGAAGGUUUUCGGAUCGUAAAGCUCUGUUGUAAGAGAAGAACGAGUGUGAGAGUGGAAAGUUCACACUGUGACGGUAUCUUACCAGAAAGGGACGGCUAACUACGUG